GCUCAGAGGGUGGUAAUUAAGGGGUCAAACCUGCCUGGAGGCUGGUGCCAAGUGGGAUCCUGCACAGUCUGUCCUGGGACUUGGCUUGUUUAACAUCUCUGUGAGCUGCCUGGAAGAGGUGAUUGUCGCAGAUGGAGAGGUCAACACACGCUGAUCGAUUUGAAAGCAUCCAGUUCCAAUUCCUUUUUCAAACAUCCCCAGAAGAUUCAUCAGCUGCGUGAGCUCUAUUCUGAACACUUAUCUGGAGUCAGGCUACGGAGAAAGCUUUAUGCCAACUUGGAAGUCCACUGCAGUUAGCAAAGCUCUGCACGUUUCCUAAUGCAGAGUUCACUGUAUCUGAAAUGUUAAGUUUGCAGCAGGAUUGGUUGAAGAAUAAUAUUCCUGCACAGCUUUCUCUCUCAGCAGAAGUAAUGCCU
rnacentral:lncRNA from 1 species